GACGAACGCUGGCGGCGUGCUUAACACAUGCAAGUCGAACGGAAAGGCCCUGCUUUUGUGGGGUGCCCGAGUGGCGAACGGGUGAGUAACACGUGAGUAACCUGCCCUUGACUUUGGGAUAACUUCAGGAAACUGGGGCUACUACCGGAUAGGAGCUCCUGCUGCAUGGUGGGGGUUGGAAAGUUUCGGCGGUUGGGGAUGGACUCGCGGCUUAUCGGCUUGUUGGUGGGGUAGUGGCUUACCAAGGCUUUGACGGGUAGCCGGCCUGAGAGGGUGACCGGCCACAUUGGGACUGAGAUACGGCGCAGACUCGUACGGGAGGCAGAAGUGGGGAAUAUUGCACAAUGGGCGGAAGCCUGAUGCAGCAACGCCGCGUGCGGGAUGACGGCCUUCGGGGUGUAAACCGCUUUCGCCUGUGACGAAGCGUGAGUGACGGUAAUGGGUAAAGAAGCACCGGCUAACUACGUG
rnacentral:rRNA from 1 species